GCCCUUGAUUUCAGCUGAACAGGUGCCGAGGUCUUGCCUCCCAUGGCUUUUCCGCACAGCCGCGGCGCUCGCUCCCGGCGGAGGUACCCGGAGCUGCGAGUGCGACCCUCACACCGCAGUUAGACCCGCACAAAACUUCAGUCAGCCGCUUGUCUCCCCAGGAGGCGGGUGAAAUGUAACGUGGAAGGGUAAUUUAAAAAUAAGCAUGUAUUUCUGCUCUUAUUGCUGUUGUUAUGAUUUUUAAGUGCUUGCUCUUCACUCUUCUCGGGUUUGCUGCAAGUUGCGUAUGUCUUGGUAUUGCUCGUUUUCCGUCCCUGUGCCUCCCCCUGACCAGUGUUGUGUAGAUCCCCAUGUUCUUACUUUGUCUUUGGGGAUUUCACUGAAAUCCCAAUGCCUGCUCCAAGAAGCAGACAUUUUGGGAAGAUUCUUCAUGAGAAAGGACGGUUUAUGAUAAUUAGUAUAAUUUUGUUAAGGAAAGACACCACCAAAAUUGAAUACCUCCACCCCCUCAACCCUGGGAAAGCAAUCCACCUUUCACAUCCUCAUUUUACACAGAAAGACGCAUGAGCUGAAUGGAUGCAGACUGAAAUCUAUCACUGCUUAAGUUUUCUGUGUCAGACACAACCCUAUAGUACAGGGAACACAUACAAAAUUGUGCAAUACUGACAUCUAAGUAUGUCAUAAUCCUCUCUUCCUCAGCAGUAUCAUUACACCAGGUUAAUUACAUUAGUCACCUCCUGGUUCUAUACAUGUAGCUGCUCAUUAAUGCAACAAUCACGAAGAAAAGAAAUAAUCUAAUUCUUGAUGCUACCGA